UGUGAAUCCUACACUGGAAGG
rnacentral:miRNA from 1 species